AUCAAUGACUUCUGGGCUGCUGUAAAAAAAAAAAACAAACAAAAGAGGAGCGGCAGAGAGGAACUGUGCUGGUUUCCUACCCAUCAGUACAGUACAGAACCCCACCACCUCACACAGCUGCUGCAAUACAGGAAUUGCCUGUUUGGCAAAGAUGCCACAAGAAGUCUCAAGGCUACUGACACAGUGGGAUGGCAGGAAAACCCAUGGCAAUGCAGACUGUAUGCACAGCAGAUGCAAGGAAAAAUGGAAUAAUGCAUAUUCCAGCACUGCCCUGUCUAUGCCAGCGUGAAGGUUAUCCUGAUUCCCUGGCACUGCCUCGGAGACGAACUGAAACCUCCAAUGAGGGAAAAUUCUGGUGCUGCGAUGGACCCUGAGCAAGCUAGAAGACCUCUGGUUCAGCCUCAUGAGAUUAAUCCAUAUCUGCUUCAUCCCAGCUACUGUCAGAUGCUCCAGCGGCUGCUGCGCACAGGAUGUGGCCAUCACAACCUCCCCUUCCCAGUCUACAGUUGUCUGCUCUAGUUUGAAGCGUCUGAAGCAACAGUGGAAACAGCUCGAAGGACUGAAGCCAGGCUGAACCGUCUAGGGUGAAGCACAGGGUCACUCCUCUUGCUGUGACCGAGGCUACCACCUGGCCACACAGCUCCUACAGCUCUGUGCCUGCACCCACACAAACCGCCUCACAUCCCCACACUCUCAAUUACGGACAUAUUUUAAGAGAUUUUUGCAGAGCUGCUCAGCUCUUUUGACAGAAGUCAAUGGAAAAAGUGUUCCUACUUGAGUAAGCAUGGACUUGGUAACACUGCCUGCACAAAAACAGCCCGCAGAGCAUGGAGCAGCGAUAAACAACUGGCAAUGAGGAGCCCAGAGCUUGAAAUGCCUCUCGGUUCAGCCUCCUGCCUGCGCAGGACAGAGAGCCCUUCCUGCAGCCCCGCAGGCUCCUGGGAUCUCGCGCAGCAUCACGCUCAGGCCAAUGCUGAGCACGGACAGCCAGCCAGCCCCAUGGCACAGACAGACAAACAGCCCCAUGGCUUGCUCUAGGCUUGUGAAACAUCACAAGGAGGAUAUUCCAGGCACCUGCACUUCUCCCACAAGAUCCCUUCACGGAGAGGUUUUCCCAUCUCAGCCUGUCACCGUGCUGGGGGAAAACAGGGCACAAUCAGAGCUGUGUGCCAACUGCUGAGAAACAGGGCUGGCAACACGGAGGCACAGUCUGCAAUGCAGUCCUUUGCCCUCCAAGAGGUGAGAUAUUUAGUCAAGUUACAUUGGAAUAAAGACAUCAGGAGUUGAUUAACGGAUUUCCGCCAAAGCAAACACAUUUAAGUCUUAUUUAUUGUUUCUCCUGCAGUAGCACUUCCAAAUGCCAGUUAUGAACCUGGGUUCCGCCGUGCCACCUACGGCUGCAACAGAUGAGCCCUGCUGUCGUUGUAUUUUACAAACUGUUCCUCUGUGUCACUUAACGUAUAGAAAAUCUUUAAAACCCUGUAAAAGUUGAUAAAUCGUAGAACAUCUUGAACUCCAAGUGAUAAAUCUGCUCUGGGGCAGACAAAGAGCUCAGCACAAUGUUGAUGCAUCUCCCAAGCCCUAUUCUAAGAGCUUAAAUGGCUCUUCAGCUUUGCAGCAGCCUCGCGCCAGCCUUGUGCACGAAGGUGAAUUUCAUGGAAAGAAUAAAAGAGAACCCCAGAAUCCUGGCCUUCAGCCCAUCUCUCAAUAAAACAAUUUUGAAUAUCCUAGGCUGUGUUAAAGCCAUUUCUGGGUGCAUACUGGCUUCAUUGCCAGUAUCUGACUCAUUAAUGGAAUAUACUUUGAGCCAAACUCUGAUCUCAUUUACAGCACUGUAAAUCCAGGGCAACCCAAUUGACUCCAGUGGAGUUACUCCAAAUUUCCCACAAUAGGUACUCAGCAGAUAGAUCAAAAUGUGGUGUUUUGGGUCUGAAAAAAGCUGAGGAAAGCCAAACUUCAUCCCAUUUGGGGUGGAGAGUAAGCUGGAAAGAGCGCCAGCCUAUCCCAGCUGCUGAAACAUGGUUUAUUUCACGUGUCAUAAUGUUGACACUUUGGAGGAGGGGUUUGUCCACUACUAUGAACAGUUUUCAUUAACUCCUAUAAAAAGAAGGAAUUAUAGCUGAGUUCUAUAUGAAAACAUGGAUUGCAAUGAUAAAUUAAAGAAUGACUUGCUUUGAAGUUGUUCUUGGGAACAAGCACUGCUUUCGGUGAUGCAUCCCCCUCUGCCUGGGCAUUCAAGGAGGUGCAGGUUCUGCUCAGAAAGUUGCUCUUAUUCAUUGCACCUAUUAAGCAAUAAGGUUGUGAGAUGAUAAAUCACAUCGGCUGGUAUUUGCAAACCCAUCUCAGCCAGCCUCGACACAUCCCAUCGCUCCUAACAGCUACGGGCACCUCAACCACUCAGUUACUUUAACCUCUCCAGCCUUGCUGGAUCACACCGCUCGCUGAGCUGGUUCUCAGCAGAAAGAGAAAGCUGCUUUUCCCCCAACAUGCUGAGUAGGAUGGGCAUGAAAUGACUCAGGCAGGGGGUCUCCAGCCUUGUCUCAGCAUUUCUUUGACUAAUCUUUAUUCAGAGAUAAGGCGCAAAGCCGUGCUUGGGUACCACUGGCAUAAAGCCAUAGGAGAAUCAGAGCUCACGUCCCCUAAAGCAACUGGCAAAAGGAGUUUUGCUCACGGCUAACGUGUCAGCGUGGAGCUUCUUGAUAUAAAUUGGUUACCCAGGCAAUUUGGGUGGCACAUGUUCCACUCCUAUUAAACAAAAUAACAGUUAUUGAUAUAUUUAAAGAAAAAAAAAAAAAAGGUAUUCAAGGGCUUGGAUCGCUAAGGGAAAGCUUGAGGCAGGGACAAAACGAGACACUGUCACUUCCUUCAUCACACAGCAGCAGGUUAAUGAGAAAACAAGGGCUGGGCAAGAGCCCUGUCAAAUUCCCAAGCAGCCUGCAUCCAUGUACACUCACACUUCAUUAGCAUCUCUGUGGGAGACCCAAGGGGAACUUGGAAGACUGAAAAACAAUUAGGAGGGGGGUUGAGAGCUAAGAGGACAGGGGAGCAGAACAGCUCGGGAAGAACUUGGAGGAAUGGUGUGUCCCAGAGAUCUUAACACAGGGAGAUGAAGGAACUCAGAUAGGGUAAAGAAACACAUUGGGGCUCCAAUCCUUCUACAAAGAAGUGGCCUGCUUGGACAUAGUCCACCUGCGGAACGAGGACCGGACUGCUGUUUAUUUUAUUUGCUGCUUGUUUAUCAUUAAUGUUGAAGUUUUCCUCAAGCAAUUUAACUGUGAAGUGAGGGUGGUAGGGACAAUUGGUAUUUUUGAGUAGGAUGCUUGCCACUAGGAAGAGCAAGCUCCUUCUUCCUUGGUUAUCCAGGAGGAUAAACAACAGCACUUGCCUCUUUGUGCCAGGGACGCGUACAGGGUGCAACACGCUGAAUGUUUGCCCUCGUGCAAGACCGCAGCGCACUGCUGAGCUCAUCGGCUUAGUCCUGCGCUAGCUCUACUGCCUCUGGUCCUUCAUUUACUUUGCACUCCUGCGCAGCUCAGUGUGACAUCUCCAGAAAUCUUAUCAACCCGAUUUUAAUGCAGAUAAUUAACUGCACUGAGACUUUGGACAGAGUGGCUCUGCGUGAACCUCACAGCAAACAGUGGGGGGAAUUACUGGCAACACAGUGGGCACAGAACCAGGCUGGUGAGGCUGGCAGGGAAAAGUAGGGUUUGAUUUUAAUAUACUGCCACUUCUGAACUAAUAGAGCGAAAUACAAGGGGCAUUGUAUGCCAAACUGGCACAUGACAACUACACUUCAUGCCCUGGCUGGGUGUUUCAAGGUGAUGUCAGAUUAUAUAUUAUAAAACUGCCAUUUGCAAAGCAUUCAUCCCCAAAUCUCAAGCACGGUCCACAGGCACAAGAUUAGGGUGUGUGGCGGCCCUAAUCCUGCUUUCAGCGGCAUCACCUGGGGGCCGUGAGAGCAGGAGAUGUUCCCUGCUGCACAGGAUUAUUCCCUGAGCUGCGCUGUUGUGUAGCCACAAGGACCUGAGGGAACAACUCCCAACCUUCUCCCUCAGAGACAGCAGCUACGCUCACGGCAGCCAACACAAAACACAGUUACCACUUGAAAAAGCAGGAGAGGAACUCCAGUACUAAGCCAAGCCGAAAACGGCCUUUUCCUCUAAUUUCCCUGUUCCUUCUGCAACCACCAGAUCACAAGACAAAUGCUGACUUUGCAGCACAUUAAGUGUACAAGUUACUCUCCUUUCCUGAGCUGUUCCAUGAAAUCCCAAGAUCACAGGUACCUGGACUGCCCAUCUUGUUGCAGAAGGGUGUUAUUAUCACCACAGAGUGUCUCUGUCUCAGAGGACAGCAGAAAAACACAUAUUUUGCUCAGAAAUACUCCGCUGAGUUAAUAAACCACUGCUGCCUUACUGCUUCUCGAACCCAGCUCACUGCACUCACUCGGGCUCCGAGAUCCUGCAGAUAAUCAGGUACUGCCACUGGUGUGAGCAAAAUACUACCCAGGGAGAACAGAAAAGAUUCUUAAUAGCAAAACUAACCCUGAAACCCGAGGUGUAGAUGAUAUAUUUAAUAAUUCACUGUAUUUGCA